rnacentral:rRNA from 1 species
GACGAACGCUGGCGGCGUGCUUAACACAUGCAAGUCGAGCGGUAAGGCCCUUUCGGGGGUACACGAACGGCGAACGGGUGAGUAACACGUGGGUGACCUGCCCUCAGCUCUGGGAUAAGCCUGGGAAACCGGGUCUAAUACUGGAUAUGACUCCAUGACGCAUGUUGUGGGGUGGAAAGCCUUGUGCGGCUGAGGAUGGGCCCGCGGCCUAUCAGCUUGUUGGUGGGGUGAUGGCCUACCAAGGCGACGACGGGUAGCCGGCCUGAGAGGGCGGCCGGCCACACUGGGACUGAGACACGGCCCAGACUCCUACGGGAGGCAGCAGUGGGGAAUCUUGCGCAAUGGGCGAAAGCCUGACGCAGCGACGCCGCGUGAGGGAUGACGGCCU